GGCUAGAAAGCAAAAUGGUAAUGCAAAAAGAUUGCAAAUCUUUUUUUAAUCGGUUCGAGUCCGGUUCUAGCUU
rnacentral:tRNA from 1 species